GGAAUUGUUCACAAUGGGCGCAAGCCUGAUGACGCAACGCCGCGUGGGGGAUGAAGGUCUUCGGAUCGUAAACCCCUGUCGAAUGGGACGAAUAGCCUUCGAAUUAAUACCUCGGAGGAAUGACGGUACCGUUAAAGGAAGCCACGGCUAACUCUGUGCCAGCAGCCGCGGUAAUACAGAGGUGGCAAGCGUUGUUCGGAAUUACUGGGCGUAAAGGGCGCGUAGGCGGCCAUCUAAGUCAGACGUGAAAUCCCCCGGCUCAACCUGGGAACUGCGUCUGAUACUGGGAGGCUAGAAUUUGGGAGAGGGAUGUAGAAUUCCAGGUGUAGCGGUGAAAUGCGUAGAUAUCUGGAGGAAUACCGGUGGCGAAGGCGGCAUCCUGGACCAAUACUGACGCUGAGGCGCGAAAGCUAGGGGAGCAAACGGGAUUAGAUACCCCGGUAGUCCUAGCCCUAAACGAUGAAUACUUGGUGUGGCGGGUAUCGAUCCCUGCCGUGCCGAAGCUAACGCAUUAAGUAUUCCGCCUGGGGAGUACGGUCGCAAGGCUGAAACUCAAAUGAAUUGACGG
rnacentral:rRNA from 1 species